rnacentral:rRNA from 1 species
CAGUCGCCGCGGUAAUACGAAGGGUGCAAGCGUUAAUCGGAAUUACUGGGCGUAAAGCGUGCGUAGGCGGUGAGUUAAGUCUGCUGUGAAAUCCCCGGGCUCAACCUGGGAAUGGCAGUGGAUACUGGCUCGCUAGAGUGUGUCAGAGGAUGGUGGAAUUCCCGGUGUAGCGGUGAAAUGCGUAGAGAUCGGGAGGAACAUCAGUGCGAAGGCGGCCAUCUGGGACAACACUGACGCUGAGGCACGAAAGCGUGGGGAGCAAACAGGAUUAGAUACCCCUGUAGUCCCUGUCUCUUAUACA